CAGACCAGAACUGAAGAGGUACAAGUGGUGGUAAACAACACAGACCAGAACUGAAGAGGUACAAGUGGUGGUAAACAACACAGACCAGAACUGAAGAGGUACAAGUGGUGGUAAACAAGACACACCAGAACUGAAGAGGUACAAGUGGUGGUAAACAAGACACACCAGAACUGAAGAGGUACAAGUGGUGGUAAACAAGACAGACCA